UUAGAGUUUGAUCCUGGCUCAGGAUGAACGCUAGCGACAGGCUUAACACAUGCAAGCCGUGGGGCAGCGGGGGUAGCAAUACCUGCCGGCGACCGGCGUACGGGUGAGUAACGCGUGCGCAACCUACCCUUUACCGGGAGAUAACCCAUGGAAACGUGGAUUAAUAUCCCAUGGUAUCAUAUAGUUGCAUGAUUAUAUGAUUAAAACUUUGGUGGUAAAGGAUGGGCCCGCGUAACAUUAGGUAGUUGGUAAGGUAACGGCUUACCAAGCCUACGAUGUUUAGGGGUUCUGAGAGGAAGGUCCCCCACACUGGAACUGAGACACGGUCCAGACUCCUACGGGAGGCAGCAGUGAGGAAUAUUGGUCAAUGGGUGAGAGCCUGAACCAGCCAAGUCGCGUGAGGGACUAAGGGUCUAUGGCCCGUAAACCUCUUUUGUAUGGGACGAAUAAGGGGUACGUGUACUCCGAUGCCUGUACCAUACGAAUAAGCAUCGGCUAACUCCGUGCCAGCAGCCGCGGUAAUACGGGGGAUGCGAGCGUUAUCCGGAUUUAUUGGGUUUAAAGGGUGCGUAGGCGGCGUAAUUAGUCAGCGGUGAAAUUCGGCAGCUCAACUGCCGUCAGCCGUUGAAACUGUUAUGCUCGAGUGAGGUCAAGGUAGGCGGAAUAAGUAAAGUAGCGGUGAAAUGCAUAGAUAUUACUUAGAACUCCGACGGCGAAGGCAGCUUACCGGUCCUCAACUGACGCUGAUGCACGAGAGCGUGGGUAGCGAACAGGAUUAGAUACCCUGGUAGUCCACGCCGUAAACGAUGCUCACCGGUUUCCGGCGACACACAGUCGGGAGCCGCGCAAACGUAAAAGUGAGCCACCUGGGGAGUACGUCGGCAACGAUGAAACUCAAAGGAAUUGACGGGGGCCCGCACAAGCGGAGGAACAUGUGGUUUAAUUCGAUGAUACGCGAGGAACCUUACCCGGGAUUAAAUGUUGGGUGCAUGGUGGAGAGAUCCAUCUUUCCUUCGGGACUUCCAACAAGGUGCUGCAUGGUUGUCGUCAGCUCGUGCCGUGAGGUGUCGGGUUAAGUCCCAUAACGAGCGCAACCCUUUCCGUCAGUUGCCAUCGGUUCAUGCCGGGCACUCUGUCGGGACUGCCGCCGUAAGGUGCGAGGAAGGAGGGGAUGACGUCAAAUCAGCACGGCCCUUAUAUCCGGGGCGACACACGUGUUACAAUGGCCGGUACAGGGGGCAGCUACCAAGUGAUUGGAUGCAAAUCUCCAAAGCCGGUCUCAGUUCGGAUCGGAGUCUGCAACCCGACUCCGUGAAGUUGGAUUCGCUAGUAAUCGCGCAUCAGCCAUGGCGCGGUGAAUACGUUCCCGGGCCUUGCACACACCGCCCGUCAAG
rnacentral:rRNA from 1 species